UGGGGAAUAUUGCACAAUGGGCGCAAGCCUGAUGGAGCCAUGCCGCGUGUAUGAAGAAGGCCUUCGGGUUGUAAAGUACUUUCAGCGGGGAGGAAGGGAGUAAAGUUAAUACCUUUGCUCAUUGACGUUACCCGCAGAAGAAGCACCGGCUAACUCCGUGCCAGCAGCCGCGGUAAUACGGAGGGUGCAAGCGUUAAUCGGAAUUACUGGGCGUAAAGCGCACGCAGGCGGUUUGUUAAGUCAGAUGUGAAAUCCUCGGGCUCAACCUGGGAACUGAAGCUGAUACUGGCAAGCUUGAGUCUCGUAGAGGGGGGUAGAAUUCCAGGUGUAGCGGUGAAAUGCGUAGAGAUCUGGAGGAAUACCGGUGGCGAAGGCGGCACCCUGGACGAAGACUGACGCUCAGGUGCGAAAGCGUGGGGAGCAAACAGG
rnacentral:rRNA from 1 species